CCGCCACGGAGACGUGGCUUUCCCUUCGGGGACUAGGACACAGGUGCUGCAUGGCUGUCGUCAGCUCGUGUCGUGAGAUGUUGGGUUAAGUCCCGCAACGAGCGCAACCCUCGCCUUUAGUUGCCAUCAUUUAGUUGGGCACUCUAAAGGGACUGCCGGUGCUAAGCCGGAGGAAGGUGGGGAUGACGUCAAGUCCUCAUGGCCCUUACGGGGUGGGCUACACACGUGCUACAAUGGCGACUACAGAGGGCUGCAACCCAGCGAUGGUGAGCCAAUCCCUAAAAGUCGUCUCAGUUCGGAUUGUUCUCUGCAACUCGAGAGCAUGAAUUUGGAAUCGCUAGUAAUCGCCGAUCAGCAUGCCGCGGUGAAUACUUC
rnacentral:rRNA from 1 species